GGAUGAGCAGGCCCAAACUGAGGGAAUGAUGGAAGGAUCCCGAAAUUUAUCCACAUUCUUGGACCAUGUGACCAACUGGUACAUCACAACAGGAGCAUAGCCCUCAGUGAGCCAUGUGUGUUGAAGGUCAAGGGACCCAGGAAGAGCGAUUUGUUUUUCCAUAAGGCCUGUCAUCAUCUCAGCUGUCCUAAGCAGUUCACAGCUAAUGAAGUCUUCUGGAAGUGUCAUUCAUCUUUCAACGUG